UUUCAAAUGAAUUGACGGGGGCCCGCACAAGCGGUGGAGCAUGUGGUUUAAUUGGAAGCAACGCGAAGAACCUUACCAAAUCUUGACAUCCUUUGACAACUCUAGAGAUAGAGCCUUCCCCUUCGGGGGACAAAGUGACAGGUGGUGCAUGGUUGUCGUCAGCUCGUGUCGUGAGAUGUUGGGUUAAGUCCCGCAACGAGCGCAACCCUUAAGCUUAGUUGCCAUCAUUAAGUUGGGCACUUUAAGUUGACUGCCGGUGACAAACCGGAGGAAGGUGGGGAUGACGUCAAAUCAUCAUGCCCCUUAUGAUUUGGGCUACACACGUGCUACAAUGGACAAUACAAAGGGCAGCGAAACCGCGAGGUCAAGCAAAUCCCAUAAAGUUGUUCUCAGUUCGGAUUGUAGUCUGCAACUCGACUACAUGAAGC
rnacentral:rRNA from 1 species